rnacentral:rRNA from 1 species
CGCAUAGUACUGUGAAGGAAAGGUGAAAAGGACCCCGGGAGGGGAGUGAAAGAGAACCUGAAACCCUGUGUUUACAAACUGUCGAAGGGCUUUAUAUGCCCGACGGCGUACUUUUUGUAGAACGGUCCGGCGAGUUGUGCAUACUGGCAAGGUUAAGGGAUGAAGUCCCGGAGCCGCAGGGAAACCAAGCCUUAAUAGGGCGCGUCAGUCAGUGUGUGCAGACCCGAAACCGGGUGACCUAUCCAUGUCCAGGUUGAAGUUGCCGUAAAAGGCAAUGGAGGACCGAACGCACAUCCGUUGAAAAGGGUGGCGAUGAGGUGUGGAUAGCGGAGAAAUUCCAAUCGAACCCGGAGAUAGCUGGUUCUCCUCGAAAUAGCUUUAGGGCUAGCCUCGUUUUAGUCUGGUGGAGGUAGAGCACUGAAUUCCCAAGGGGGCGUCAAAGCUUACUAAGGGAUAUCAAACUCCGAAUGCCAUACAGAUGAUGAACGGGAGUCAGACUAUACGAGAUAAGUUGGAUAGUCAAAAGGGAAAGAGCCCAGACCUGCAGCUAAGGUCCCAAAGUGCAUGUUAAGUGGAAAAGGAUGUGGGAUCUCUAAGACAACUAGGAUGUUGGCUCAGAAGCAGCCAUUCAUUCAAAGAGUGCGUAACAGCUCACUAGUCGAGAGGUCCUGCGCCGAAAAUGUCCGGGGCUAAAACAUGCCACCGAAGCUCAGGAAUGACAUAGUCAUUGGUAGAGGAGCAUUCUUAACGCGAAGAAGCAGUACCGUAAGGAGCUGUGGAGUGCUAAGAAGAGAGAAUGCCGGAAUGAGUAGCGAGAACAAGGUGAGAAUCCUUGUGGCCGAAUAUCCAAGGUCUCCAGGGUAAAGCUGAUCUGCCCUGGGAAAGUCGGGACCUAAGGUCAGGCUGAAAAGCGUAGCCGAUGGACAACAGGUUGAUAUUCCUGUACCGCAUGGUAACAGAACUGUGGGGACACGGGAGGGAAACAUGGGCCGGAAAUGGAAAGUCCGGUACAAACGGGGUAGUCGCACAGCAGGCAAAUCCGCUGUGCAUAAGACGAAGCCGUGAUGUGGAGCGAAAUGAAGUAGCGAAGCAUGUGCCCCCUCCUGUCGAGAAAAGCCGCUAUUGUUUGCCAUGCGCCCGUACCGUAAACCGACACAGGUGGAUGAGGAGAGAAUCCUAAGGCCGGCGGGAGAAGCAUUGUCAAGGAACUCGGCAAAAUGACCCCGUAACUUCGGGAGAAGGGGUGCCCACGCAAGUGGGCCGCAGAGAAUAGGCUCAAGCAACUGUUUAGCAAAAACACAGGUCUAUGCGAAACCGUAAGGUGAUGUAUAUGGGCUGACGCCUGCCCGGUGCUGGAAGGUUAAGAGGAGAGGUUAGCGCAAGCGAAGCUUUGAAUCCAAGCCCCAGUAAACGGCGGCCGUAACUAUAACGGUCCUAAGGUAGCGAAAUUCCUUGUCGGGUAAGUUCCGACCCGC